rnacentral:rRNA from 1 species
GUGCACGCUGGCGGUAGGCCUAACACAUGCAAGUCGAACGGCAGCACAGUAAGAGCUUGCUCUUACGGGUGGCGAGUGGCGGACGGGUGAGGAAUACAUCGGAAUCUACUUUUUCGUGGGGGAUAACGUAGGGAAACUUACGCUAAUACCGCAUACGACCUACGGGUGAAAGCAGGGGAUCUUCGGACCUUGCGCGAUUGAAUGAGCCGAUGUCGGAUUAGCUAGUUGGCGGGGUAAAGGCCCACCAAGGCGACGAUCCGUAGCUGGUCUGAGAGGAUGAUCAGCCACACUGGAACUGAGACACGGUCCAGACUCCUACGGGAGGCAGCAGUGGGGAAUAUUGGACAAUGGGCGCAAGCCUGAUCCAGCCAUACCGCGUGGGUGAAGAAGGCCUUCGGGUUGUAAAGCCCUUUUGUUGGGAAAGAAAAGCAGCAGGUUAAUACCCCGCUGUUCCGACGGUACCCAAAGAAUAAGCACCGGCUAACUUCGUG